AGCUUGCUUUUGAAGAUGACGAGCGGCGGACGGGUGAGUAAUGCCUGGGAAUAUGCCUUGAUGUGGGGGAUAACCAUUGGAAACGAUGGCUAAUACCGCAUAAUGCCUACGGGCCAAAGAGGGGGAUCUUCGGACCUCUCGCGUCAAGAUUAGCCCAGGUGGGAUUAGCUAGUUGGUGAGGUAAUGGCUCACCAAGGCGACGAUCCCUAGCUGGUCUGAGAGGAUGAUCAGCCACACUGGAACUGAGACACGGUCCAGACUCCUACGGGAGGCAGCAGUGGGGAAUAUUGCACAAUGGGCGCAAGCCUGAUGCAGCCAUGCCGCGUGUGUGAAGAAGGCCUUCGGGUUGUAAAGCACUUUCAGUCGUGAGGAAGGUAGUUGCGUUAAUAGCGUAUUGAUUUGACGUUAGCGACAGAAGAAGCACCGGCUAACUCCGUGCCAGCAGCCGCGGUAAUACGGAGGGUGCGAGCGUUAAUCGGAAUUACUGGGCGUAAAGCGCAUGCAGGUGGUUUGUUAAGUCAGAUGUGAAAGCCCGGG
rnacentral:rRNA from 1 species